UACAACCAUAUCAUGUUCGAAACCAGAACUUGUAUGAUCACCAAUGUUAAGCAACAUUGAGCCAGGUCAGUACCUAGAUGGGUGACCACAUGGGAAUACCAGGUAGUGUAA